rnacentral:tRNA from 1 species
AUAUUAGGAUUAUUUCUCAUAUUAACGUUCUACUGGAAUAUCGGAAGUGGAUAUAAUAUUUAUUGUGGACGUGAA